rnacentral:rRNA from 1 species
AAACCAGCACCUCAAGUGGUCAGGAUGAUUAUAGGGCCUAAAGCAUCCGUAGCCUGCUCUGUAAGUUUCCGGUUAAAUCCACUAGCUCAACUAGUGGGCUGCCGAAAAUACUGUAGAACUAGGGAGUGGGAGAGGUAGACGGUAUUCGGUAGGAAGGGGUAAAAUCCUUUGAUCUAUUGAGGACCACCUGUGGCGAAGGCGGUCUACCAGAACACGUUCGACGGUGAGGGAUGAAAGCUGGGGGAGCAAACCGGAUUAGAUACCCCAGUAGUCC